AUGAAGAAAAUCAAUGUCGACAAAUAUUUGAUAUCAGCAUUGGUCGAGCAUUGGCGGCCUGAGACAAAUACUUUUCAUUUACCUAUAGGAGAAAUGACCGUUACACUACAGGACGUGAGCUGUUUGUGGGGGUUGCCUAUCCAUGGUAAACCACUUAUUAGCAAAGCUGAUGCUGCAUGGUCUGGAUUAAUUGAGAGGUUACUUGGGAUUCCUGUAGAUGAACAACACAUGAAGCAAAAGAGAAGGCGGAAAGAUGAUGACAAUAUUGCUAUGAAGAAUUCACAGUACUCUUUAAAUUUGGGUAAACUACGAGAACACUUCCAGGUGAUGCCAGAUAAUCCAGUGGAUCGAGAGAUUCGUUGGCAUGCUCGAGCGAUUGUUCUAGAAAUCCUUGGCUCCACGGUGUUCACUAAUACAUCUGGAGAUGGAGUGCCAGCUAUGUAUCUUCAGUUUAUGCAGAAUACAGGUGAUACGUCCAUUUUGCAUCAUGCUUUUAUAUCGAUAUUUAUCGCAUUAUGGGUUGUUAUUACACAUAAUGUCAUAAUACUUAUGCCUAUUCUAUCUUAUUUUACAAGGUUUACAUGA
rnacentral:rRNA from 1 species